CUACGGGUGGCUCCAGUGGGGAAUAUUGCACAAUGGGCGCAAGCCUGAUGCAGCCAUGCCGCGUGUAUGAAGAAGGCCUUCGGGUUGUAAAGUACUUUCAGCGGGGAGGAAGGGAGUAAAGUUAAUACCUUUGCUCAUUGACGUUACCCGCAGAAGAAGCACCGGCUAACCCCGUGCCAGCAGCCGCGGUAAUACGGAGGGUGCAAGCGUUAAUCGGAAUUACUGGGCGUAAAGCGCACGCAGGCGGUUUGUUAAGUCAGGUGUGAAAUCCCCGGGCUCAACCUGGGAACUGCAUCUGAUACUGGCAAGCUUGAGUCUCGUAGAGGGGGGUAGAAUUCCAGGUGUAGCGGUGAAAUGCGUAGAGAUCUGGAGGAAUACCGGUGGCGAAGGCGGCCCCCUGGACGAAGACUGACGCUCAGGUGCGAAAGCGUGGGGAGCAAACAGGAUUAGAUACCCUCGUAGUC
rnacentral:rRNA from 1 species